CUUAGAAGUGCAAAUGCUGCCAAAAAAUUAAUGCUGCGUUCUAUGUGGAGCUGCUUGGGGUUUGGGGCUUCUAUCAAGUUUGAUUCCAGUUACCGGUUAGACGGACUAGCCUUGGUGAGGUGAGGUGACGGUGGAGGAAUCCUCUUUGAUGCGGUUCGUGUCGGGUUUGUGGCUUUCACACCUCUUGUUUGGCGUGAUGUCUUUUUGGACUCCAUGUUUCAGUUUGGUCUUUUUGUCUCGGCGUUUUCAGGUCUGCAUUUGAAAGUUUUUUGAGGUCUCUGUGUCUCAGCUGGGCAGCUUUGGAUCCCUAUCUGUCUUGUUUGUUUAUUUGGAGGUCCAUGACGCCAAUGAGUUGUGCAUUUCUUGGGCACAGAUGUUCUCCAUUUGGCGUUUUUGAUGAACUGCGCUUCAGUUUAUAAACGUCAGAAGGUAUGACAGCAGUCCCAACAGCAGUGGGGUGAGAAUAAGAAGACCACACCAUGCAACGAUGGCUCCUAUUCCCCAUUGUAGGGUUUUUCUAGAAUAUUCCUUGGCUUUGUUCGGCGCUUCACCACCGUACUUCUUGUUGGACUCCCGAGUCUGGCGAGAAUGAGAAAGAAGACACGAGGUUAAAUGGAUUUGAGAAUUAUUUGUGUAAAAAAAAAAUAUCCGUUUUCAGAUGUGUUGAAUUAUAAAACGCUUGUUCUUUGACUGUGUUUUUAAAAAAAUCUUUUUAAUGAAGUGUGUCUAGAGGAAUUAGUGAGUUAAGUAUUUACAUAUUUUAUGUCCUAGGAUGGAUUCUUAACUUUGUUGCAAAAGAGGGUUGAGGCUAUUUUUGGACUAAACGGGAAUUUAGUGCAGGGUCUUAAGUCCUGAUGUGAAGUUCUGGUCUUUCAUACAGUCGAGCAGUAUUUCCCAGGUCUGCGUUGCGGAACACCUUUUAGUUUUCUUGCUUCGAAAAUGAAAGAAACCAAUGGUGUACUGAGCAACACUCACCGAACUGUUCGGCCAAGAAAAACAACAAAUGACACAAACACUGGGAGAGAGCUGUGAAGAACCCCCCCCCCCAAAAAAAAAAAUAAGUGACACCACCGACAACCUCCAGAGGGCAGGAUCUGCUCAUGAUCCAAAGCAUACAAGCUCGUCUGUGAAACAUGGUGGAGGUAGCGUCAUGGCUUGGGCUUCUGAAACAGGCUCAAAAAUCGUGUGGUCCGUUACAAAAGGUCCUAUGUUUUAUGUUGUUUAACACGUCUAGGUGUAAACACCAGGAAAUAAAAGCUGAAACCCUAAACCCUCGUCUCACCUCCGUCUUUUGAUCUCAAACACAAACGCCGGUGGUGUAUAGCGCAAUCAAAUGAAUCAGCCUUUCUGUUCCGAUACUUUUGGAGGGCACUGUAUGCAAGCCUACUUGUGUGAGUAAGUGUGUUUGUGCUAAUAGUAGGUUAGUAAUAUGUUGCUGUGUGGUGGAAUGUUAGUGUAAGGUGUGUGUGUGUGUGUGUGUGUGUGUGUGUGUGUUAAUUACCUUAACUGAGUAAAUGAGAGACACUAUGCCAACACAGGACAGGCCGCAUAUGAUGCUGCAGAUGGCCAGUUUCCUGUAGUCUUUCACUGGAAGGUGUUGACCGUCAGAGCCUUUCUCCACAUCCACCGACUUCUUCGUUUGAGUCAGCGGAGUGCUGAUGUUUGAUUCGUGGUUUAAGGUCGUCAUUGUUUCCUACAUUGGGAAUGAACACAAACAACACAGCGUCAUGACCAGUAACACCAGUGACUCAUAUUUACUGUAUAGUCUCCGUCACAAGAGUCCUUUUCUUCUCAUGUCGUCUUUCAUUUUCAUUUUUGUCUUCGCGAUAACACCCUCCCUUUGGUUUCUCACACACACACAUACACACACACACACACACACACACACCAACCACACAGUGUCAUAUCCUCAUCUACUACCAAAACAAGCAACACUUGAGGUUACAGUGUGGCUUGAGGCUGUGAAAAACAUCAACAGCUACCAAACUUUAAAAAAAAUUUUGUAUUAUCGGGAGAGAGAGAAAAAAAGAAAACAUAAAAAAGGAAAGAUAGUGUUUAAGUACUACGUUAACGAUACGUCCACCUCAACGACUUGCAUUUCUAAAUCCGCAUGUCUGGAAGGAGCUGCAGAGAAAUUAAACAAGAAAGUCUGUUUUUUUUUCUUUUUUUUUUCUUCUUCUAAAAGGAGUUGAAUGUACAGGAAACGUGUUUAGAGAGAGGAAACGGGGUUCGCGUUUUACACAGAAGGGAGGUUGCUCUUGAAACCUUGAGCUUCGAUUAAAAAAACGGAAGAAGAAGAAUUCAAGAAAGAAGAAGUUUAGGAAAGAAGUGUACGGGAAACAGCUGGACACGAAACUGCUGAGCGGGCGACUGUCCGAUUACUUUUGAGCCUGUGAGAAUGGAGUACAGAGAGCUAAAAUUGUGUUGAUGUCCAAAUACUUAUGGACCUGACUGUUUGCUAUAAGGUUAAUAAGUAGCAAUGGAAGCUUAUUAACUUGUAGUUUAGCAUCUCACAUGCACACACACACACACACACACACAUAAUAAAAAAAAAAAACCUUGUUUGGCUCGAGAACACAGUUUAUACAUGCACACUUCAAUAACGGCGAAUGUAAGAAGAAAAAUAAAGAAAAUUUGUUCUCUACUUUUAAAGUUUUGGCCACGCCUCCUACUUUCGUACGGUGGGUUAGACGGCUCGGAGAAGUGGCGUGAUGAUUUAAGCGGUUUAGAAGCGUAGAUGAGAGAAAUAUGGUGCUUCAUGUGUGAUAAAAAAUAUAUUUUUACUUUAGAGCUAAUUAUCAGCUCUAAUUGUCGAAUUUUUUUUUUUUUUAAUUUAAGCGAGAGAAUACACCUCUAUCAACGUCAGCCUUGUUCGAGAGUCUGUUUGUUGUUUUCGUGGUUUUGUUACUAUUGCGUUUAGGGUGUAUGUGUGUGUGUGUGUGUGUGUGUGUGUGUUGCUUGAAGGUUUGUCAAGCUGUAAAAGCUGGAUGAUCAGGAAAAACCGUGGCAUCACAACGAAACUGUGGCACUGAUACAAAGAGUUCAGGUUACACACACACACACACACCCACAUGCCGUGACACUUACUGUAACACUAUCAGUUUACCUCAGAUUCACCUUUCUGUUUGUACACGGAGAGAGAGAGAGAGAGAGAGAGAGAGAUACAAAAAGAGGACAGGAAAAAUGAAAAACAAACGGGCGCGAGAAUGAGGGAGAGACCGAGGAAGAUAGAACGAGACGGGCAGAAAGAGAGACGGACAGACCGAGAGUGAGAGACCGGUAGAGAAUAUAGACUUGGAUGGAGAGAGACAGACAGAUAAACAGGUGGAGAGGAACUGACAGACAGAGAGAACGACUGAGAGAGAGAGACUACAAAAGAGACAGAUGGAGAGAGAGACAACGAGAAAGAAACAAGAGAGAGACUGAAAUGUAGAUGAGAGAGAAUUCUCUCAGAAACACA
ensembl:lncRNA